GAUGAACGCUGGCGGCGUGCCUAAUACAUGCAAGUCGAGCGAACAGACGAGGAGCUUGCUCCUCUGACGUUAGCGGCGGACGGGUGAGUAACACGUGGAUAACCUACCUAUAAGACUGGGAUAACUUCGGGAAACCGGAGCUAAUACCGGAGAAUAUAUUGAACCGCAGGGUUCAAUAGUGAAAGACGGUUUUGCUGUCACUUAUAGAUGGAUCCGCGCCGCAUUGGCUAGUUGGUAAGGUAACGGCUUACCAAGGCAACGAUGCGUAGCCGACCUGAGAGGGUGAUCGGCCACACUGGAACUGAGACACGGUCCAGACUCCUACGGGAGGCAGCAGUAGGGAAUCUUCCGCAAUGGGCGAAAGCCUGACGGAGCAACGCCGCGUGAGUGAUGAAGGUCUUCGGAUCGUAAAACUCUGUUAUUGGGGAAGAACAAAUGUGUAAGUAACUAUGCACGUCUUGACGGUACCUAAUCAGAAAGCCACGGCUAACUACGUG
rnacentral:rRNA from 1 species